rnacentral:rRNA from 1 species
UAGGGAAUCUUCCGCAAUGUGCGAAAGCCUGCCGGAGCAACGCCGCGUGAGUGAUGAAGGUCUUCGGAUCGUAAAACUCUGUUAUUAGGGAAGAACAAAUGUGUAAGUAACUAUGCACGUCUUGACGGUACCUAAUCAGAAAGCCACGGCUAACUACGUGCCAGCAGCCGCGGUAAUACGUAGGUGGCAAGCGUUAUCCGGAAUUAUUGGGCGUAAAGCGCGCGUAGGCGGUUUUUUAAGUCUGAUGUGAAAGCCCACGGCUCAACCGUGGAGGGUCAUUGGAAACUGGAAAACUUGAGUGCAGAAGAGGAAAGUGGAAUUCCAUGUGUAGCGGUGAAAUGCGCAGAGAUAUGGAGGAACACCAGUGGCGAAGGCGACUUUCUGGUCUGUAACUGACGCUGAUGUGCGAAAGCGUGGGGAUCAAACAGG